rnacentral:rRNA from 1 species
UACGGGAGGCAGCAGUGGGGAAUAUUGCACAAUGGGCGCAAGCCUGAUGCAGCCAUGCCGCGUGUAUGAAGAAGGCCUUCGGGUUGUAAAGUACUUUCAGUCGUGAGGAAGGUGUUAAGGUUAAUAACCUUAGCAAUUGACGUUAGCGACAGAAGAAGCACCGGCUAACUCCGUGCCAGCAGCCGCGGUAAUACGGAGGGUGCGAGCGUUAAUCGGAAUUACUGGGCGUAAAGGGCACGCAGGCGGUUAAUUAAGUUGGAUGUGAAAUCCCCGGGCUUAACCUGGGAAUGGCAUUCAAGACUGGUUAGCUAGAGUCUUGUAGAGGGGGUAGAAUUCCAUGUGUAGCGGUGAAAUGCGUAGAGAUGUGGAGGAAUACCGGUGGCGAAGGCGGCCUCCUGGGACAAAGACUGACGCUCAUGUGCGAAAGCGUGGGGAGCAAACAGGGAUUAGAUACC